rnacentral:rRNA from 1 species
ACGCUGAAGAGAGGAGCUUGCUCUUCUUGGAUGAGUUGCACACGGGUGAAGUAACGCGUAAGGUAACCUGCCUCUGUAGCGGGGGAUAACUAUUUGGAAACGAUAGCUAAUACCGCAUAACAAUGGAUGACACAUGUCAUUUAUUUGAAAGGGGCAUUCGCUCCACUACAAGAUGGACCUGCGUUGUAUUAGCUAGUAGGUGAGGUAAU